rnacentral:tRNA from 1 species
GUGACAGUUUGGCCGAGUGGUCCAAAGCGCCAGAAUUAAGCUCUGGUCCGAAAGGGGGUGGGUUCAAAUCCCACAGUGGUCAUG